UACGUAGGGUGCAAGCGUUGUCCGGAAUUAUUGGGCGUAAAGAGCUUGUAGGCGGUUUGUCGCGUCUGCUGUGAAAUUUCGGGGCUCAACCCCGAACUUGCAGUGGGUACGGGCAGACUAGAGUGUGGUAGGGGAGACUGGAAUUCCUGGUGUAGCGGUGAAAUGCGCAGAUAUCAGGAGGAACACCGAUGGCGAAGGCAGGUCUCUGGGCCAUAACUGACGCUGAGGCACGAAAGCGUGGGGAGCAAACAGG
rnacentral:rRNA from 1 species